rnacentral:rRNA from 1 species
GACGUAGGGCGCAAGCGUUGUCCGGAUUUAUUGGGCGUAAAGAGCUCGUAGGCGGCCUGUCGCGUCGACCGUGAAAACUCACAGCUCAACUGUGGGCGUGCGGGCGAUACGGGCAGACUAGAGUACUGCAGGGGAGACUGGAAUUCCUGGUGUAGCGGUGGAAUGCGCAGAUAUCAGGAGGAACACCGGUGGCGAAGGCGGGUCUCUGGGCAGUAACUGACGCUGAGGAGCGAAAGCGUGGGGAGCGAACAGG